rnacentral:lncRNA from 1 species
CCUUGGCUCAGCACGCCCGAAUUCAAAACCAAAACCAAGCUUCAGAUGAAUACCAAACUAUCGUAGCAGCGGGUAUUAAGAGAAUGACUUUUUCGAUCUUGUCAUCAACCUUGAUAUUCUUUGUGUGUGCUAUUUUUGAGCCGAUUCAUUGAACAUUAAAUGGUGACAAAAAUGAAAAAAAUAACAAAUUAUUUUACUGUUAAAGGUUAUAAUAAUGGCAAUGGUGAUCAGCCUAGCAAAUCAAAACGUGUGAAACUAACUCAGCAGGUUCUAUCCGAAAAAAAGUCAAUGAACAGCAUAUGUCAAGCAAGGGAAGUGUUGAUGUUAAACAGAGAACAGUCACUCAAAAAUGUUCUGAGUGGAAAAAAGUUAUUCUU